CCUACGGGGGGCAGCAGUAGGGAAUCUUCCACAAUGGGCGAAAGCCUGAUGGAGCAACGCCGCGUGGGUGAAGAAGGUCUUCGGAUCGUAAAACCCUGUUGUUAGAGAAGAAAGUGCGUGAGAGUAACUGUUCACGUUUCGACGGUAUCUAACCAGAAAGCCACGGCUAACUACGUGCCAGCAGCCGCGGUAAUACGUAGGUGGCAAGCGUUAUCCGGAUUUAUUGGGCGUAAAGGGAACGCAGGCGGGCUUUUAAGUCUGAUGGGAAAGCCUUCGGCUUAACCGGAGUAGUGCAUUGGAAACUGGGAGACUUGAGUGCAGAAGAGGAGAGUGGAACGCCAUGUGGAGCGGUGAAAUGCGUAGAUAUAUGGAAGAACACCAGUGGCGAAAGCGGCUCUCUGGUCUGUAACUGACGCUGAGGUUCGAAAGCGUGGGUAGCAAACAGGAUUAGAUACCCGAGUAGUC
rnacentral:rRNA from 1 species